AUUGAACGCUGGCGGCAGGCCUAACACAUGCAAGUCGAGCGGCAGCGGGAAAGUAGCUUGCUACUUUUGCCGGCGAGCGGCGGACGGGUGAGUAAUGCCUGGGAAAUUGCCCAGUCGAGGGGGAUAACAGUUGGAAACGACUGCUAAUACCGCAUACGCCCUACAGGGGAAAGCAGGGGACCUUCGGGCCUUGCGCGAUUGGAUAUGCCCAGGUGGGAUUAGCUAGUUGGUGAGGUAAUGGCUCACCAAGGCGACGAUCCCUAGCUGGUCUGAGAGGAUGAUCAGCCAAACUGGAACUGAGACACGGUCCAGACUCCUACGGGAGGCAGCAGUGGGGAAUAUUGCACAAUGGGGGAAACCCUGAUGCAGCCAUGCCGCGUGUGUGAAGAAGGCCUUCGGGUUGUAAAGCACUUUCAGCGAGGAGGAAAGGUCAGUAGCUAAUAUCUGCUGGCUGUGACGUUACUCGCAGAAGAAGCACCGGCUAACUCCGUGCCAGCCGCCGCGGUAAGAC
rnacentral:rRNA from 1 species